rnacentral:lncRNA from 1 species
GAAUAUGUACAGCACUAUGGUUCCUAUAUACAGUUACCUCCAUUGACUUCCGUUUGGAUUCGAUCUUGGACCAUUAAACAAGGAAUGGUAGGCUACAUCAAUAGCAGAACCCCAGCAAGUACAACGUUGGUCAUUAACAAGAUUCCUCGACGGCAGACGUGGACUGUAAUUUUGUCUUUGAGCAGAUCCAGUCUUUAGAAGACCUGCAAGGGCUGGAGAAAAAUAUGAGAUAAUAAGAAAAAGAAGGCAAUGAAGACCUAUGUCACCAGAAUAGGUGGAGUUGACGGAAAAUUCCAUGGUAAAAAAGGCCAUGCAAAGAAGCUGUCACUGAAUCUCGCCAGAAAGCGACACAAGAUUCCUGUCAGAAAUGUAUGGCACAGUAUCUGAAGUAUGCUCCAGAAAGGCAUGGCGGUGGUGGACGCCAAACUAAUUUGGUUAAUUUAUAGAACCUGUCGCAGAAUACCAGGGACCAGACUGCCAUUCAUGUCUAUGAUUGAUGAUGCAUGGCGACGAUGGACAUUGAAAUACCAAAAUAAAACGAUUAUA